rnacentral:rRNA from 1 species
AGAGUUGAUCCUGGCUAGAACGAACGCUGGCGGCGCGUUUAAGCAUGCAAGUCGAGCGGCAAGGGCCUCCGGGCCCCUAGAGCGGCGGACGGGUGAGUAACACGUGGACAAUCUCGCCCCCCGGCCCGGGAUAGCCCAGGGAAACCUGGAUUAAUACCGGAUGAGACGGGACCCGCGAUGGCGGGAUCCGGGAAAGGCGCUGCGGCGCCGCCGGGGGAUGAGUCUGCGUCCCAUUAGCUAGACGGCGGGGUAACGGCCCACCGUGGCGACGAUGGGUAGCCGGCCUGAGAGGGUGGACGGCCACAUUGGAACUGAGACACGGUCCAGACUCCUACGGGAGGCAGCAGCUAAGAAUCUUCCGCAAUGGGCGAAAGCCUGACGGAGCCGACGCCGCGUGAACGAAGAAGGCCGUGAGGUUGUAAAGUUCUUUUCGGGAGGGGGAACAACCGUGGCAGGGAAUGGCCGCGGGAUGACGUGAAUCCCGGAAUAAGCCCCGGCUAACUACGUGCCAGCCGCCGC